rnacentral:lncRNA from 1 species
UCGCUUCUCAUGACUGUUAUGUUCACCACCUUCUGACCUUUGAUAGCUAGGUCAUCCAACAUUUCCUCCACCUUUUCAUCAUCUGUGAGUUCUUCCAUUCCUGAAACCCCAACACCUGGAUCUCUAACAUAAUACAUGAAGUCUGUCAUCCCAUAUCCUUCAAGCUCUAUCAGUGCAAUUAGAUUAUAAAAUGUUAUAUCAUCCACAUUUAGGCAUCUUUCAAG